rnacentral:misc_RNA from 1 species
CCCGAAAAUGGACGCCUUAUAUUAUUUAAAAGAUAGAAUAGGACCUUUCAACUCAAUAAGACCAUUCAAAUGUUGAGAAAAUUACAGGCAACCUCACUUCACACAUUCAUUACACUAGAAACAACCAAAAUUAAGAUGUAAAUAAAUUAUUGAAUGGUGUGGCUGUUGGAUUCCACACCAAAUCCAUGCCCCACUCCAAACCCCCAAGACCCAACAACUUCCAUCCUCUGAACCACCCCCAACAUUCCUAGAGAAGGAUUACACAGAGAGAGAAUAAAAAUUAGAGAUCAUUUCCAUGGCUUUCCAAGCAUUUACAAAGUUGCACCUCUUUUUUUCUUGUGCUUACAAAUUCUGGUUUUGCUGCCUAUGGUGCAAAUAAUGGCUCAUCAUACUUGCUUUGCAUAUGCAGCACCAAAACUGCAUCAUGUUCCAAUCCUCAUUCAUGUUUCUAUUGACUCAAGUACACCUUUUAGCUUCACUGUUAACCUUGGUUGCCCAAGGAGAGGGAGAGAGAAAGACAGAUGCUACCAAAAAUCUAAACAAAAUUCUAUUUUAAGAAAAAGCAUGAGACAUUCUGCAUUAACAUUUGCUUCUGAAAAUGGAAGACGAAUAAAUGAAAACUCCAACAUUACAAAUCAAAUCUGGCUGACAACAGAAAGACGAAUUAAAAAAAAAUGUAACUCGAGACACUUGAUGGGCAAAAAGACGAAGAUGGAAAUAUGUGGAAUGUGCCAGCACCACUACAAUGAAACAUUCAUAACACAUCAAUACAUCCUGAAAAAGGAAAAACUCCAUCCAUAAUCUUUCUUCCCAUGACAAAAGCUCAACAUCAAAUUUGUGGUCUGAACUAUAUCCUAUAAGAUGAACUAAUCCAGAGUAAAACUUUCAAUCUGGAAUUUUCACUUUCUAAGUAAUCUGCAAAUCCAAAAUGUUCAUCACAACCAAUAUUGUAGGCAAUGUGCAAAGCCACACACGAAUACUUGUAGGAAGAAAAAGUACAGGGAAAAUUACUAUUUAAUGAUUGUAUUUUAGCGAAAUUAAUUACUUAGUCCCUAUAUUUUGAAAAAUACAUUAUUUAGUGCCUGUAUUUUACUUCCGUUAAACUCUUUAGUUCCUCUGUCAAAUUUUUUGUUAGUCAAUGUCAGUAAACUACUAUUUAGUCCAUCUAUUUUAAGAAAAUUAAUUAGUUGAUCCCUACAUUUUGAAAAACAUUACUAUUUAGCCCCUUUAUUUCAGUGAAAUUAAUUAGUUGAUUCUUAUAUUUUGAAAAACAUAAUAUUUUGAAAAAUAUAUUCUUGAAUAAAAAUGAAAAUUGCUAUGUGGAAACUAAAUCUAAAUUUAUAUUUUUUAAAUUGUUCAAAUAUUUUUAUUCAAUUUCUUGGAUAUCAUUUUUGUGUUUUCCUAAUGGGAAACAAUUUUCCUUAAUUAGUUAGAGAACUAGGAAAACUUAUUAAUAUUUUCACACAGACAACUUGUACUAUUUCUUAUCAAAAGAUAUAAAACAGAGAGAGAAUGAAGGGGAGAAAGAGUGAGCAAAGGAGAAGAAACACGAGAAAAAAUAAUAAGAAAGGGUAAGACAGAAAUAAGAGAGAAAAUUAUGAUAAUUUAGGUUUAAAAAAUAAUUAUGAGACUAAAUAGUUAGCGAAACUAAAUUACAGAGACUAACUAAUAUGUUUUUCAAAAUUACAGACUAUCUGAUUAGUUUCACUAAAAUAGAGUGACUAAAUAGUAGUAUGACUAACACUGACUAAGUGACUAACAAAAAAAUUAACGGAGGGACUAAACAGUUUAACAAAAGCAAAACAAAUGGACUAAAUAGUAUGUUUUUCAAAAUACAGAGAUCAAGUAGUUAAUUUCGUUAAAAUGCAGGAACUAAAUAGUAAUUUUCCCAAAAGUAUAUUUGUAAAAUCACAAUAACAUCAACUCACCAUAUCCAAGAAGACAGGAAUCUAUUUCUCCAGCUCCCACCCUCCCAAUCUCAUCCCAGGAUCAUAAUUUGUGAAUAGCCGAAACUCGUUCCCCAGCUUGCUGGAGUGUUGAGGCCUAAAACCACAUGGAUGCAAGCCUAAGAGCUCGGCAGCCCUAUCUUUCUGCACCUCCCCAGUGAGAAGAAGCAAGUGGGAUUUUCCAGGUGUUGCAAGAAAAGAAAUUGUUUCAGUAACCUUUUCCAAACACUCCUUACUCAGGUAAGGAGGAUCAGCAACUACAACUUGGAAAGCCUGCUUCAGCUCAGAAGGUAACUCUUCAGGUUCAUUGUAAUCAUAGAACGUGUAAUCACUUCCAUAUUGCCCAAAUCUUUUGUCAUAUUCCAACAAUUGCACAGAAACAUUCGGUUUAAUUUUCUUAAUAUAGGCAUAGAGAGUAGGGCAAGCGAUGCAAGCAACCCGAGAACUGGGAUUGGAGUUGUUGCCCAGUAAAGCAAUAACCUCCUUGGCAACGGUCUCUGCGGUUAAAGGGUCAUACCAGAAUUGGCUGAGCCUCCAAUCUUCGGAUACUAAGGUCACUUUACCGCCAGUUUCUUCAGCUCCGGUUUCUUCCCUGCGUUCAUCAACAUUUAACUGGUUCUGUUCUUCGAUGAACUCUCUAAGAGCCGCUAGAGCUUGAGAGCUCAGCAUAGGCAGGUCAUCAUCGUCGCCGUUCCCAUCCAAAACGCCAUCGUUUCUUGGUCUCACGAGCUUUUCUUCCAUCCUCCUGAUCCUGGAAGCCUGGAACUUCGCUGUCGCUGACGGUGAAAAGAGAAGGCGAGGAAAGUAUACCAGAGGCUGCGGAGCAGCGGAGGCAAUAUGGGCUGCGGCGUGUUAGGGAGACGUUUUAGUGUAGUGUUGGAC